CCUACGGGGGGCAGCAGUGAGGAAUAUUGGUCAAUGGACGAGAGUCUGAACCAGCCAAGUAGCGUGAAGGAUGACUGCCCUAUGGGUUGUAAACUUCUUUUAUAUGGGAAUAAAAUGUUCCACGUGUGGGAUUUUGUAUGUACCAUAUGAAUAAGGAUCGGCUAACUCCGUUCCAGCAGCCGCGGUAAUACGGAGGAUCCGAGCGUUAUCCGGAUUUAUUGGGUUUAAAGGGAGCGUAGGUGGAUUGUUAAGUCAGUUGUGAAAGUUUGCGGCUCAACCGUAAAAUUGCAGUUGAAACUGGCAGUCUUGAGUACAGUAGAGGUGGGCGGAAUUCGUGGUGUAGCGGUGAAAUGCUUAGAUAUCACGAAGAACUCCGAUUGCGAAGGCAGUUCACUGGACUGCAACUGACACUGAGGCUCGAAAGUGUGGGUAUCAAACAGGAUUAGAACCCCAGUAGUC
rnacentral:rRNA from 1 species